rnacentral:rRNA from 1 species
GAUGAACGCUGGCGGCGUGCUUAACACAUGCAAGUCGAACGGUGAACACGGAGCUUGCUCUGUGGGAUCAGUGGCGAACGGGUGAGUAACACGUGAGCAACCUGCCCCUGACUCUGGGAUAAGCGCUGGAAACGGCGUCUAAUACUGGAUAUGUGACGUGACCGCAUGGUCUGCGUUUGGAAAGAUUUUUCGGUUGGGGAUGGGCUCGCGGCCUAUCAGCUUGUUGGUGAGGUAAUGGCUCACCAAGGCGUCGACGGGUAGCCGGCCUGAGAGGGUGACCGGCCACACUGGGACUGAGACACGGCCCAGACUCCUACGGGAGGCAGCAGUGGGGAAUAUUGCACAAUGGGCGCAAGCCUGAUGCAGCAACGCCGCGUGAGGGAUGACGGCCUUCGGGUCGUAAACCUCUUUUAGCAGGGAAGAAGCGAAAGUGACGGUACCUGCAGAAAAAGCGCCGGCUAACUACGUG